rnacentral:rRNA from 1 species
CUACGGGUGGCAGCAGUGAGGAAUAUUGCACAAUGGGGGGAACCCUGAUGCAGCAACGCCGCGUGGAGGAUGACGCAUUUCGGUGUGUAAACUCCUUUUAUAUGUCAAGAAAAUGACGGUAGCAUAUGAAUAAGCACCGGCUAACUCCGUGCCAGCAGCCGCGGUAAUACGGAGGGUGCAAGCGUUACUCGGAAUCACUGGGCGUAAAGGACGCGUAGGCGGGCUUGUAAGUCAGGUGUGAAAUCCUACAGCUUAACUGUAGAACUGCACUUGAAACUACGAGCCUAGAGUAUGGGAGGGGGGGAUGGAAUUAGUGGUGUAGGGGUAAAAUCCGUAGAUAUCACUAGGAAUACCUAAAGCGAAGGCGAUCUCCUGGAACAUAACUGACGCUAAGGCGUGAAAGCGUGGGGAGCAAACAGGAUUAGAUACCCGCGUAGUC